rnacentral:rRNA from 1 species
CAGUCGCCGCGGGAAUACAGAGGGUGCGAGCGUUAAUCGGAUUUACUGGGCGUAAAGCGCGCGUAGGCGGCUUUUUAAGUCGGAUGUGAAAUCCCUGAGCUUAACUUAGGAAUUGCAUUCGAUACUGGGAAGCUAGAGUAUGGGAGAGGAUGGUAGAAUUCCAGGUGUAGCGGUGAAAUGCGUAGAGAUCUGGAGGAAUACCGAUGGCGAAGGCAGCCAUCUGGCCUAAUACUGACGCUGAGGUACGAAAGCAUGGGGAGCAAACAGGAUUAGAUACCCCUGUAGUCCCUGUCUCUUAUAC